rnacentral:rRNA from 1 species
GACGAACGCUGGCGGCGUGCUUAACACAUGCAAGUCGAACGGAAAGGCCCUGCUUUCGUGGGGUGCUCGAGUGGCGAACGGGUGAGUAACACGUGAGUAACCUGGGCUUGACUUUGGGAUAACCUCAGGAAACUGGGGCUAAUACCGGAUAGGAGCUCCUGCAGCAUGGUGGUGGUUGGAAAGUAUCGGCGGUGGGGGAUGGACUUGGGGCUUAUGAGCUGGUUGGGGGGGGAGUGGCUUAGCAAGGCUUUGACGGGUAGCCGGCCUUGGAACGUAGCCACGCACAAUAGGACUGCGAUAGGGCCCAGUCUCCUACAGGGGACAACGGGGGAAAGUAUUGCCCAAUGGGCGGGAGCCUGCUGAGACAGCGCCGCGUUCGGGAUGACGGCCUUCGGGUUGUGAACCGCUUUCACCUGUGACGAAGCGUUAGUGACGGUAAUAAGUAAAGAAGCACCGGCUAACUACGUG